rnacentral:tRNA from 1 species
GUGGGUAUAGCUCAGUGGUAGAGUCCAUGCUUAGCAUGCAUGAGGUCCUGGGUUCAAUCCCCAGUACCUCCA